CGAAAGAGUUUUCCCUUUUAAAUUCAUUCACACUGCCUAUCUCUCACUCGCGCCCUCCCCUCCACGCCUCUCUCUCCCUUGGCCCCCACCGCCCCUGCGACCCCUUCAAUGCCGCCACCCUCCAUUUUGCUGCAAUAGUCUGGUUCCGCAACAACCUCUGCCUCCUUGACAAUGAGCAUCUAUAGAGGUACAUCAUAGAGAGUGUCUCGGAACCAAAAAAGAGUAUCAUUGUUCUGUUCCUAUUGAUGGAAAUUUUGCGGACAUCAAAAUCGAGCACUGCAUUUGCUUGCAACACCUAUUUCAAAUUCACUGCCAAUUAAAAUUGGAUUCCAUUUCCACCAAAACCUAAAUGCAAAGAGGGAGAGAGAGGUGGGGGGGAGGACCUUAGAGGGGGAAGCGGUAAGGACGGAAGAGGGAUCGGGGUCGCUGAGACAGAGAGAGGCAAUGGAGGCAACAAUUGUUUGAGUCCAAGAAGUAGAGGCGCGAGGCUUUGUCCUAUGCAAGGAGGUUCCAGGAAGCGGUGGUGGUGGUUGUACCACCGUGAGCAGUGAAGAAAGAGUGCUUGGGAAGUGGGACCCACUCAAAAGAGAGAGUGAAGAUCAUGGCCUCAUCUAGCUACUCUAACUCUCCCUAUGAUGCCUGCAAGUUCUUGAGAAGAAAAUGCAUGCUGGAUUGCAUUUUCUCCCCGUAUUUCCCUCCAAAAGAGCCUCAAAAGUUCACCAAUGUGCACAAGAUAUUUAGAGCAAGCUUCUAAAUGAGGUGCAGCCUCAUCAGAGGGAGGAUGCAGUGAACUCACUGCCCUAUGAAGCCGAGGCACGUAUAGAGGAUCUGGUCUAUGGUUGUGUUGGAGAUUUCUAUAGACUUGGAAGAGUAAAGAGGUUGAAGAAUCACCUAGUGCAAUAGGUGGCUUAAGGAAUCCUCAGGAGAGCUUAGGUGAGAAAAAAAGGAUGAGUCUGAGUUGAUGAAGAAGGUUUCAAUGAGGAGAAAAAUUUUGUCGCUCGCCUCAUGCACAUGCUUCAUAAUGAUGGACCAGACAAAAUGUUGAAGGCAACAAUAAGUGUGUUCAUAGUCAAAUUCAAUUGCACUGUUGUUUCCUCAAUUAUAUUCUCCUUUAUUAUUAUUGUAAUUUGUAAAUAAACAUGUUGUAAAUACACAUAUAUAAAACAUAUAAUCUUUUAUUUUAUUUAUAACUUUUUAAUUAUAUUUAAAUAAAGAUAAAAUGAUUCUAGGU